GACGAACGCUGGCGGCGUGCCUAAUACAUGCAAGUAGAACGCACAGUUUAUACCGUAGCUUGCUACACCAUAGACUGUGAGUUGCGAACGGGUGAGUAACGCGUAGGUAACCUGCCUGGUAGCGGGGGAUAACUAUUGGAAACGAUAGCUAAUACCGCAUAAUAUUAAUUAUUGCAUGAUAAUUAAUUGAAAGGUGCAAUUGCACCACUACCAGAUGGACCUGCGUUGUAUUAGCUAGUAGGUGAGGUAACGGCUCACCUAGGCGACGAUACAUAGCCGACCUGAGAGGGUGAUCGGCCACACUGGGACGGAGACACGGCCCAGACUCCUACGGGAGGCAGCAGUAGGGAAGCGUCGGCAAUGGACGAAAGUCUGACCGAGCAACGCCGCGUGAGGGAAGAAGGGUUUCGGAUCGUAAAGCUCGGUUGUAAGAGAAGAACGGGUGUGAGAGUGGAAAGUUCACACUGUGACGGUAUCUGACCAGAAAGGGACGGCUAACUACGUG
rnacentral:rRNA from 1 species